rnacentral:lncRNA from 1 species
CUUCAUUCAAUAAAAAACGCUCUCCUUCUCCCCAAAAUCACUUUCUUUUUUCUUUCUUUUUCUUUUGAGGCCCAUUUCGUUUUCUCUCUCAACAAUUCCUAAUUAAUUUUCAAACCCCAGAAAGUAUUUAUCCCUUUUGAUUGAGUAAAAUCACAAUCAUUUAAAAAAUGGAGAACCAGAGGUUGAAGCAGUAGCAACAAGCGUUGAUUGAACAGGCUCCCCUUCAACAGCGAUCUCUUUAUCAUCUGGCCUUUUAACUCCUGCUCGCCAUGUUUAACUUUUUCUUUUUUCUUUUUUUUUAUUUGAAUAUUUAUCAUUUUUUGUUAACUGCGUUUGCUGAGG